GGAGUAUUCCCAAACAGCUGCCAAAAUGCCUUUAAUUUCAAGGAAGUUCCCGGUCUUCUCUGGCCUGACGUGGACUGCCGACCUCCACUUUAGUGGAAGGCUCUUCUGCCUUCCCCUCCCCCUCCUCCUGUUUCUGCACCACCUUCAUGCACAGCCUUCACGACUGGCUCCAGUAGCAUCUCGGGCGCCUCCAGCGCCAUUGGUUCCUCCUCCUCCCCUCGCUGUCAAGGAGGGCAGAGACCCCCAUUGGACUUACACUGCCCGCUUCAGAUUUCUCCACCUGUGUCCCAGGUGAAAAUCCUAUUGCCAGAAGGCAGCAAGGCAAGAGGUUGCCACGAACUUGGUACAGAGAAGAGCAGGAUGCAAACCACAACUGGCUGAACAUCCCUGGGGUCGGAGUUGUUUUAUAAG